rnacentral:tRNA from 1 species
GCGUCCGUAGCUCAGUUGGUUAGAGCACCACCUUGACAUGGUGGGGGUCGGUGGUUCGAGUCCACUCGGACGCG